ACCUGCCUGGCAGAGCUGGCACAGUUUUGGGUGUGGGCAUUGGACAUGAUACAACGUGAUGUAGCAGAUGUUGACAUGAUCGGGUUUGUUGGCUUUUUGUUUUGUCUUUUCCUACCUGUGACUUCACUCCAUUUGGAGAGAGCACAUGCCAGACAGAUGGAGGGGAAAAAACAUUCCCAAAGCUAAAAGUCAGGGAAAUGGCAUGGGCCAGGGCUCAGCCAGGAUCUCAGGCUCAGAACACAGACCCCAUCAGCUUCAGGACAGCAUGGACCUGACCCCCUGUACCCACAGAGCCAGCACAGAGGCAUUGCUGUGGCCCAUGCAGAGGGUUGGUCCUCUGCUGUCUUUUGGUCCCGAGCUCCUCAGCAGGACACUGAUGGACAGAACCUAUUGAGGAAAGCUUGGUCAUCUCCUAUCUGAAUUUUUCCCCCAAGCAUUGUCCCAGCUGAAAGUGAAGGAUGCUGUACCUAAAAUAAGGGAGCUGCUCCUUCACUGAUAUUGGUAUUUGACAGUGCUGUUUAAGGCAUGACUUCCUUGAAACUUUCUUGUGCUGGGUCUUUGAGACCCUCCAUCCCUUCCCACACUCACCUGUCCUGCUGCUCAAGCUAUUAACUACAUACCUGUGGUGUCACCUGUCUGAGAGCCAGCCAGUGGCCACCCUAAAUCCCAGGCAGAGCAGGUUGUAAAGGAGCCGUAGCCCCAUAAAACAUCUCAGAUUUCCAGUGACUGUCACUGUCUGCCUGUGGUACUGUGAGGUUUCUGCCCCAGGAGCCUGAAUGUCGGUGGGGUUAACGCAGAGCUUUCAGCUUGUGUCCAUGCCUGUUGUCUACCUCCUCUGAAGACAUCAAAUACUUGGGCCACUCCGAUCCCUCCCCCAGCUGCAGGUCUGUUUGGGAACUCAACCUGGUUAGGUGACACUAGUCCAGUGACACCUCCUGGGGACAUUUCCAUGGCACGUGUCCUGUACAAGCAUCCAGCAGUGGGAACUCCCCAUGGCCAGGACGCUCAGAGAUACGUCAGAACUGCUUUCUUCCUCUUCUCCCUUGGGGCUCAGAGUUCUUGCUGAGGCUGUAAGGAGCAUAACGGGAUGCUCCCGCCCUGCCUUCUUCCCUGCAUCAGGGCUUUGUGCAUGCAGAAGCAACUGCUUGCCAGCUCUCUGCAUCCCAGGGCCCCUGUACAAAGCUCCCUUUCACCUUGGAGCAUCCGGAAAACAUAAUGGGGCAGCAAUUACUGGGGCGGGUGCAAACUCGGCUCUGGGAGAUACAUGGCGGGGAGCCAAUUAUUGUUAAUUAGGCAUGUUGCUGUUGGCUAGCCUGGGCUUUUGCUGCUGUGCAGGAAUGUGUUUGCACCAGGGGAGUUUUGUGGCUGGCUGAGCUGCUGCUGGGAGUCACAGUUCAGGCAUGCUUGGGUCAGGUGCUGGCCAGAAUGGCUGCAUCCAAAACCUCACGUGGGGCAGAUUUCACACCAUGCUUACCCUUCAUGCCUUCUUCAAGAAGGAGAUGAGGCACCAGCCAGGACACCUGGCAGCUCUGCAGCCUGGAGGUGAUGGAAGUGCAGCGGGACAUGGCUGACCACUGCAGCGGACAUGUGCUGAGAUCCUCCUGGACAGAAACAUCUUGCAGCUGUUCUGCACUCUCUGCUGGACCAAAAAUAGUCUGCUUUGUGGUUUCUCUGCCCUGUAG